rnacentral:rRNA from 1 species
AACAACUCCCGGAAACUGGAGGUAAGACCGCGUACCCCUACGGGGGAAAGAUUUAUCGGGGAUGGAUGAGCCCGCGUUGGAUUACUAGUUGGGGGGUAAAGGCCUACCGGCACAUCCAUACUGGUCUGAGAGGAUGAUCGGCCACAUUGGGACUGAACACGGCCCAACCUCCUACGGGAGGCAGCAGGGGAAUAUUGGACAAUGGGCGCAGCCUGAUCCAGCCAUGCCGCGGAUGAUGAAGCCUUAGGUGUAAAGCUCUUUCACCGAUGAAGAUAAUGACGGUUUCGAAAGAACCCCGUAACUUCGGCCACCCCGCGGAAUACAAGGGGCUAGCGUGUUCUAAUUACUGGGCCCCAGCGCACUAGCCGAUAUUUAAGUCAGGGUGAAAUCCCCAGCUCACUGCGACUGCCUUUGAUACUGGGUAUCUUGAGUAUGGUAAGGUUAGUGAAUUGCCAGUGUAGGUGAAAUUCGUAAUAUUCCAGGAACCUGUGGCGAAGGCGGCUAACUGGACCAUAACUGACGCUGAGGUGCGAAAGCGUGGGGAGCAAACAGGAUUAGAUACCCGUAGCGAUGAAUGUUACCGUCGGGCAGUUUACUGUUGGUGGCGCAGCUAACCAAUUAACAUUCCGCCUGGGGAGUACGGUCGCAAGAUAAACUCAAAGGAAUUGACGGGGCCCGCACAAGCGUGGAGCAUGUGGUUUAAUUCGAAGCAACGCGCAGAACCUUACCAGCCUUGACAUUCUGCUCCCGCAGAGAGGGUUUUCCUUCGGGGCGGAGCACAGGUGUGCAUGGUGUCGUCAGCUCGUGUCGUGAGAUGUUGGGUUAAGUCCCGCAACGAGCGCAACCCUGCCUUAUUGCCAGCAUUCAGUUGGGCACUCUAAGGACUGCCGGUGAUAACCGAGAGGAAGGUGGGGAUGGUCAAGUCUUCAUGCCUUACGGGUGGGUACACACGUGUACAAUGGUGGUGACAGUGGGCAGGAGCAGAGUGUGAUAUUCUCAAACCAUCUCAGUUCGGAUUGCAUCUGCAACUCGGUGCAUGAAGUGGAAUGCUAGUAAUCGCGGAUCAGCAUGCCGCGGUGAAUACGUUCCCGGGCCUUGUACCCCGCCCGUCACACCAUGGAG